GGAAUUGUUCACAAUGGGCGCAAGCCUGAUGACGCAACGCCGCGUGGAGGAUGAAGGUCUUCGGAUUGUAAACUCCUGUUGCCCGGGACGAAAUGCUUCGACCUAAUACGUCUAAGCCUGACGGUACCGCGUGAGGAAGCCCCGGCUAACUCUGUGCCAGCAGCCGCGGUAAUACAGAGGGGGCAAGCGUUGUUCGGAAUUACUGGGCGUAAAGGGCGCGUAGGCGGCCUGCUAAGUCGAACGUGAAAUCCCCGGGCUCAACCCGGGAACUGCGUCCGAUACUGGUUGGCUUGAAUUCGGGAGAGGGAUGUGGAAUUCCAGGUGUAGCGGUGAAAUGCGUAGAUAUCUGGAGGAACACCGGUGGCGAAGGCGGCAUCCUGGACCGACAUUGACGCUGAGGCGCGAAAGCCAGGGGAGCAAAC
rnacentral:rRNA from 1 species